AACGAACGCUGGCGGCAUGCCUAACACAUGCAAGUCGAACGAGACCUUCGUGUCUGGUUGCUCACGGGUGCGUAACGCGUGGGAAGCUGCCCUUAUGUUCGGAAUAACUCCCCUAAAGGGGUGCUAAUACCGGGUAAUGUCUUCGGACCACAGAUUUAUCGACUUUGUAUGGGCCGGCGUUGGUUUAGCUUUUUGGUAGGGUAAAAGCCUACCAAGGCGACGAUCCAUAGCUGGUCUGAGAGGCUGAGCAGCCACACUGGGACUGAGACACGGCCCAGAAUACUACGGGAGGCAGGAGUGGGGGAUCUUGGCAAACCGGCGAAAGCAUGAACCAGUACGGGCGGGUGAGCGAUGAAGGUCGUAGGGUUGUAAAGCUCUUUUAUCCGGGAUGAUAAUGACAGUACCGGGAGAAUAAGCUCCGGCUAACUCCGUG
rnacentral:rRNA from 1 species